AGUCUUUUUAUGUAUUUUAGCACAGUUUUCUUGCUGUCCAUGAAUGGCUGAUAACGGCUGCAAUGUACAGCUACAAAAUGACAUUUGCCCAAGAACUUCAGCACCUACGCCUAACAUUGCCUAAAAAACUCAAGGAUGACUGGAUAUGCGAGAAUAAAACAUCUGAUAAUGAUGGAGAAUUUACAGUCUAAAAAUCACCAGUGAACUGAGAGAGUAAGAGCUGAGAGCUUUGCAGUAAAGGGACCAAGAUUCUUAAAGCUUACCCUACAAUUCAGCAGAUACACAGAACGUUUAUUAAUAUGAGGCUGCCCCCUGGGUGGGUUGGAAAUCAGUGAAAAGGGAGGGGGGGCAGCCUGAAGGCCAAUCAUGUCAAUAUAUGAACGAACUGCACUGCAUCUGAUCAGUUUCUACCAAGAAAGAAGAGUCAAGAGUCAAGGAGAAGACAUUGCAAUUAUUUGCUUUAUAACGAAAUUGUGUAAAUUUGAAAAAACUAUUAAAACAGAAUUGAUUUCUUA